rnacentral:rRNA from 1 species
GGGCCCGCACAAGCGGUGGAGCAUGUGGUUUAAUUCGAUGAUACGCGAGGAACCUUACCAGGGCUUAAAUGUAGGAUGCAUUAGCUAGAGAUAGCUAUUUCUUCGGACUUCUUACAAGGUGCUGCAUGGUUGUCGUCAGCUCGUGCCGUGAGGUGUCAGGUUAAGUCCUAUAACGAGCGCAACCCCUGUCGUUAGUUGCCAGCAUGUAAAGAUGGGGACUCUAACGAGACUGCCGGUGUAAACCGCGAGGAAGGUGGGGAUGACGUCAAAUCAUCACGGCCCUUACGUCCUGGCUAGCACACGUGCUACAAUGGUAUGGACAAUGAGCAGCCACUAUGCGAUGGGGCGCAAA